rnacentral:rRNA from 1 species
GAUGAACGCUGGCGGCGUGCCUAAUACAUGCAAGUCGAGCGAACAGACGAGGAGCUUGCUCCUCUGACGUUAGCGGCGGACGGGUGAGUAACACGUGGAUAACCUACCUAUAAGACUGGGAUAACUUCGGGAAACCGGAGCUAAUACCGGAUAAUAUAUUGAACCGCAUGGUUCAAUAGUGAAAGACGGUUUUGCUGUCACUUAUAGAUGGAUCCGCGCCGCAUUAGCUAGUUGGUAAGGUAACGGCUUACCAAGGCGACGAUGCGUAGCCGACCUGAGAGGGUGGUCGGCCACACUGGAACUGAGACACGGUCCAGACUCCUACGGGAGGCAGCAGUAGGGAAUCUUCCGCAAUCGGCGAAAGCCUGACGGAGCAACGCCGCGUGAGUGAUGAAGGUCUUCGGAUCGUAAAACUCUGUUAUUAGGGAAGAACAAAUGUGUAAGUAACUAUGCACGUCUUGACGGUACCUAAUCAGAAAGCCACGGCUAACUACGUG